UGGGGUGUGGCUCAGCGGUAAGGGCUUGCUUCCCACUGUGUGAGGCACUGGGUUCGAUCCUCAGCACCACAU
rnacentral:tRNA from 1 species